GAUAUACUCCCUCCGUCCGGAAUUACUUGUCGCACAAAUGUAUAAAAAUGGAUGUAUCUGGAACUAAAAUACAUCUAGAUACAUCCAUUCCUAUGACAAGUAUUUCCGGAUGGAGGGAGUAUAAC
rnacentral:pre_miRNA from 1 species